CCUAUGGGAGGCAGCAGUGGGGAAUAUUGCACAAUGGGGGGAACCCUGAUGCAGCGACGCCGCGUGAGUGAAGAAGUGUCUCGGUACGUAAAGCUCUAUCAGCAGGGAAGAUAAUGACGGUACCUGACCAAAAAGCCCCGGCUAACUACGUGCCAGCAGCCGCGGUAAUACUGAGGGGGGAAACGUUAUCCGGAUUUACUGGGUGUAAAGGGGGCGGAGAAGGCAGCACAAGUCUGGAGUGAAAUCCCGGGGCUUAACCCCGGAACUGCUUUGGAAACUGCGCGGCUGGAGUGCAGGAGGGGCAAGCGGAAUUCCUAGUGUAGCGGUGAAAUGCGUAGAUAUUAGGAGGAACACCGGUGGCGAAGGCGGCUUACUGGACUGUAACUGACGUUGAGGCCCGAAAGCGUGGGGAGCAAACAGGAUUAGAUACCCGAGUAGUC
rnacentral:rRNA from 1 species